UACGAAGGGGGCUAGCGUUGUUCGGAAUUACUGGGCGUAAAGAGUUCGUAGGCGGUUUAUUAAGCUAGAUGUGAAAUCCCUGAGCUUAACUCAGGAACUGCAUUUAGAACUGGUAGGCUAGAGAGUGUUAGAGGUUGGUAGAAUUCCUAGUGUAGGGGUGAAAUCCGUAGAUAUUAGGAGGAAUACCGAUGGCGAAGGCAGCCAACUGGGACAUUUCUGACGCUGAGGAACGAAAGCGUGGGUAGCAAACA
rnacentral:rRNA from 1 species